rnacentral:rRNA from 1 species
AUUGAACGCUGGCGGCAGGCUUAACACAUGCAAGUCGAGCGGGGGAAGGUAGCUUGCUACCGGACCUAGCGGCGGACGGGUGAGUAAUGCUUAGGAAUCUGCCUAUUAGUGGGGGACAACAUCUCGAAAGGGAUGCUAAUACCGCAUACGUCCUACGGGAGAAAGCAGGGGAUCUUCGGACCUUGCGCUAAUAGAUGAGCCUAAGUCGGAUUAGCUAGUUGGUGGGGUAAAGGCCUACCAAGGCGACGAUCUGUAGCGGGUCUGAGAGGAUGAUCCGCCACACUGGGACUGAGACACGGCCCAGACUCCUACGGGAGGCAGCAGUGGGGAAUAUUGGACAAUGGGGGGAACCCUGAUCCAGCCAUGCCGCGUGUGUGAAGAAGGCCUUAUGGUUGUAAAGCACUUUAAGCGAGGAGGAGGCUUACCUAGUUAAUACCUGGGAUAAGUGGACGUUACUCGCAGAAUAAGCACCGGCUAACUCUGUGCCAGCCGCCGCCGUAA